AUUGACCGCUGGCGGCAGGCUUAACACAUGCACGUAGAGCGAGCGGCGGACGGGUGAGUAAUGUCUGUGAAACUGCCUGAUGGAGGGGGAUAACUACUGGAAACGGUAGCUAAUACCGCAUACCAUCAGAUGUGCCCCGAUGGGAUUAGGUAGUAGGUUGGGUAAUGGCUCACCGAGGCGACGCACCCUAGCUGGUCUGAGAGGAUGACAAGCCACACGGGAACUGAGACCGGGUCCAGACUCCUACGGGAGGCAGCAGUGGGGAAUAGUGCACAAUGGGCGCAAGCCUGAUGCAUCCAUGCCUGGUGUGUGAAGAAGGCCUUCGGGUUGUAAAGCACUUUCAGCGAGGAGGCGUUACUCGCAGAAGAAGCACCGGCUAACUCCGUGCCAGCAGCCGCGGUAAUAC
rnacentral:rRNA from 1 species